GUAAGUCACAGUAAGACUAUGAAAAACUGUGGAUCCUGUUGGCUGUGGUUUUCUUUUCAGAGCUGGGUUUGGAUGCAUCCCUCAGGAUGAAGACCCCUCCCACGCUGAAGGGUGAUGCUCUUGAGUGUUCGGAUGCCAGCAAGCAGGGGUGUCAAGUCGUUGGCCACAUUAAUGCUUCAAUUGCCAUUCAACAGAGGAUUCUCGAAAGAAAACUGUGGCUCAGCAAGUGGAGACUACCAUGCAGAUUCCCUGGCCUUCAAGCUUAGAGUCCAGAGAUACCAAGUACUUCUGAAACUAAGAAAAGAAGAAACCCCAUUAUAAAGUCACUUUUCCACUUGACAAAACAAACCUAAAACAGCAAAACAAGUUAAAGACCAGAGGGAUCCUUUGCUGAGAAUCCACAUCACAACCACAAACCACUCUCCAGGAUGUUUACUCCAAAAGCCUGCUUCGAUGGGAGCAAUCCCAGCCCCUCAGCCUCCAGUUGUGGUACAUCGCGAAGGAGCCCAAUGCCUAGAUGCACACACGGUUCUGAGAGACCUUAACCCUCGCUCCUCUCAAUUCCCAUCCCCUACGAAACCAGAAUCAGGAGCAAGUGGGAAAAGACAACAUGUCGAACCGGACGUUCUUUGCCACCAGCAGGCAGCAGUAACCAUGCAGUGUUCUUGUUGAGAAUGUGCAGGCUGAAUUUCAUCAUGAGGUCAUCAGACAACUGCAGAAUGUAGACCAUUGAACAAGACAACUGGCCUUUCUUCCAACAGUCAGUGCCACCACAAAGACAAUGACCAAGAGGAGAAGAGAUAUUUUGGGUUUCUAAGGACUGAAAAGAUUAUGUAAUUAUAUUUCUUUAGUCCUUUUGGACCAAAAAUAUCUCCUCACCUUUUUGUGGUUGUCUGUGGUGGUGGUGACGUGGCCUUGUUUGCAGGGGACAGGUCAGUUGUCCGGCUCAGUGGUCUACAUUCUGAAGUUGUCUGACCAUUUCCUCAUGAUUAAAUUCAGACUCACCCUUCUGCCAAGAACACUAUACAGUUAGUUUCUGCUGUGAGUGUCCUAGCGCAGCCCCCUGGAGACCAAGGAUGUCUAGUUUAUCCACCACCGUUACUGUGAGACUAGCAUUGGUCACUUUGUUCUGGAGGGCCUACGAGAUCAGUUCAUUGUAAAGACACAUUUUUCUCUUCUAUCAUUAGUAAUUUGAUGAGUAGUGGUUUGAGAAUGUUUGAAUAUCCUCUUCUCUAAAGAUCUUUCUCUAAAAUUUUUACCAUCCAUUAAUGAGUCCUGCUGUGUGUCAGUCAUCAUAUUCCUGUUUGUACACUGGAGAUUUUCUAAUCUCAUAUUCCUCUAUACUUGUAGUUGUUGGCACAGUGCUGUGGAAAAGAACAUUCCCUCCCCCUUUCAUACCAUUAAAGUUUCUAUUGUGACUGUCA